AGAAGCCCUCAGGACCCCAGGGAGCUGCUGUUGUAGCAGAAAGCCCCUUUUCCUCUUGCCUGCAUUUGCUUUCCCAUUUUUGGAUAUGUUUCUCCUCUUACACCGUUUCUUCCUUCCUCUUUCUUUCACUAUAAGAUAAGGAAUUGUGUUUUAAAGUUUGUAUGUGUGUAUUUUGUAUCUCCCCUUGUAUUUUGGCAUUUUUAUCUAUUUGUGUGCCUUGGCAUUACUCUUGUAGCUUAUAUUUUAUACUCUUCACCUUUUGAGUAAAUGUGUUUUAGUUUUAGAAGUAAGUUAUACACUGUAACAAUGUUAACAAGGGCAGGAAUCAAACUGCUGCUUACCUGUAUCAGACAGGCCCUUGAAAGAGCAAGUGAAUCGGUGAUUGAAUGCGUAACACAGUAGCAGGCUUCAUUAACAAGCGGCAGUUAACACCUACGGAAACCGCAGAUCAACCAACAGAAGAAAUCAAUAGGAGACAAUGUAGCAACCGGGAAUUCUCUAAACUUCACUAGAAGCCCGGGUCUGAGUUAAUCAAUGCUGGGGACCAACUUUUGGGGCUGAAUAUCUCCAGAUCGACCACUUCCAGAGCCCUAUUCAUGACAGCGGUAAAUUAAUCAAAAUUCAUCAAUGGACUCCCAAACCUGCAUGUACAUGCAGACAACACCUGGGGCUGACAGAUGCCAUCCAGUAGCCACCCAGGGGGAAAUCCCACGAGGGUCAACGACCCGUGGAUUGGGCAAACCUGAAAAUUGGGGAGUCACCAAAGUCUGCCAAGGACAGAUAAAAAGCAGUGAAAAGUGACCUUCGGUGGCGCCUCUUGAUCUCCAAGGUGACCAGCACCCGACCUGUCCCCUUCUGGAGGAUAACACCACGCUGGAAGAAGCCUCGACUGGCCAUUGAUGGUAGACCUCAGCGCUUGUAGGAUAGGUAUACCCAACUCUGGUGCCUCCCCCCACAAACAUUUGUAGCUCGCUACUGUGUGUGUGCAUGUGUGUGUGUGUGAGGGGAUGAGCCCCAAGGUUUAUGAUCUGACUUCAUUACAGUGUUUCAAUCUGCCUAAUAAACCAGAAUUUCAAGGAUCCUGAGUUGGACAUUUGUAGCCAACAUUAUUUGGUGGAGAAUGUGGGCAUUAUUCUAGGAUUAUUAGCAGAUUAGUAAUUGGGGAGACCAUGUCUCCAGACAGAACCCACGUCCAUGGAGGUGGGUGGGCAAUAAUCACCCAAGGGGGUGGACUAAAAUUUAGACUCACCCAAGGAGGUGGGCAGAGCCAAGGAGGGUCUGGAUUUAGAAGCCACCCCAGGGGGUGGACUAGGAUUUAGACUCACCCAAAGGGGUGGGCAGACCCAAGGAGGGUCUGCAUUUAGUUGUCACCUAAGGGGGUGGGCAUAUCCCAAGGAAGGGAUUUGGUUGUAGAAUUUCAGUGGCAGAGUGAGUUGGGAGCAUGAGGGCUCAAGGAAACUGACAGGCUUGAGGCAUGUUGAGGAAAAUGUCUUUGUUUAGG